rnacentral:rRNA from 1 species
GAUGAACGCUGGCGGCGUGCCUAAUACAUGCAAGUCGAGCGAACAGACGAGGAGCUUGCUCCUCUGACGUUAGCGGCGGACGGGUGAGUCACACGUGGAUCCCCUACCUAUCAGACUGGGAUAUCUUCGGGAAACCGGAGCUAAUACCGGAUAAUCUCUUGAACCGCAUUGUUCAAUAGUGAAAUACGGUUUUGCUGUCUCUUAUCGAUGGAUCCGCGCCGCAUUAGAUAGUUGGUAAGGUAACGGCUUACCAAGGCAACGAUGCGUAGCCGACCUGAGAGGGUGAUCGGCGACACUGGAACUGAGACACGGUCCAGACUCCUACGGGAGGCAGCAGUAGGGAAUCGUCCGCAAUGGGCGAAAGCCUGACGGAGCAACGCCGCGUGAGUGAUGAAGGUCUUCGGAUCGUAAAACUCUGUUAUGAGGGAAGAACAAAUGUGGAAGUAACUAUGCACGUCUUGACGGUACCUAAUCAGAAAGCCACGGCUAACUACGUG